AGAAACGUUUAAGCGCCAGGGCCUUAUAUAAAAUAAGGUCGACGAGGAAGAGGGUUAUCGAACCAUUCGGCGGGUUCCUCUCGGUGGCUUGUCACCGUUACGCUUACAUAAAACCGGAAAGUAAUUUUCGGGACAAAGAGUGAGUGAACAAGACAA
rnacentral:ncRNA from 2 species